CUCCCCCUCUCCGUCUCCACUGCUGCUUCCUCCAGCUGUACAGAAAAUGGGCCUGGACUUCGAACAGGGGCAUUUGUUAAAUGCUGUUGCGGAAAAGAAGGAGUCAUCAAAUUAAAAAAUACAGCAAGUCCACCAACUAUUUUGGAGGGUAUUACCAAUUUUCAAAGGUAAUUUUUUCACUCCUGUCUCUAGUUGCCAUGCUCCGACUAGAAGCAUUUGCUGAUUGAUGAACAUUUUCUGAUAUCAAACUCUGUUAUACAGUUUUAUUGGUUCUCUAUCAGCCAUAUAGAAAUGAAUAUAUUGUAGGAUGGGUUCUAUUUAGCCCAUUCCUUAUGGUUCAGCAAAAAUUACUACAUUUUUAGCAGGUAUAUCUAUAGAUGUUACUAUUCUCCUAUGGGCUGGAGGAGAUAUU
rnacentral:lncRNA from 1 species